rnacentral:rRNA from 1 species
GAUGAACGCUGGCGGCGUGCCUAAUACAUGCAAGUCGAGCGAACAGACGAGGAGCUUGCUCCUCUGACGUUAGCGGCGGACGGGUGAGUAACACGUGGAUAACCUACCUAUAAGACUGGGAUAACUUCGGGAAACCGGAGCUAAUACCGGAUAAUAUAUUGAACCGCAUGGUUCAAUAGUGAAAGACGGUUUUGCUGUCACUUAUAGAUGGAUCCGCGCCGCAUUAGCUAGUUGGUAAGGUAACGGCUUACCAAGGCAACGAUGCGUAGCCGACCUGGGAGGGUGACCGCCCAAACGGGAACUGGGACCGGGCCCAGACUCCUAGGGGGGGCAGCAGUGGGGAAUCUUCCGAAAGGGGGGAAAGCCUGACGGGGCAACGCCGGGGGGGUGAGGAAGGUCUUCGGAUCGUAAAACCCUGUUAUUAGGGAAAAAAAAAUGUGUAAGUAACUAUGCACGUCUUGACGGUACCAAAUCAGAAAGCCACGGCUAACUCCGU